CCGCAUUGUCUGUCUCAAUUCAACUUUGACUAAUAUGGAUUCCUCGGGCCUUGGCCGGGCAGUAAUUACCGCCUGCCCCCCGGGAGCCAGAAACCACCCCCCCAUCUCCGCCGAGUUCAACGCCGCUCCUUGCGGGAGGGGGAAGGGGGUUUACAGAGCGCUCUCCAGUCUACACCGCGAGUCCCGUCUACACCGCGCUCCCCCCGCGGCCCCCUGCCCCCGGGAUGAGAAGUUUGCCCCGGAAGGAGCCUAGCAGGAGGCAAUGCUGCUGCCUGUUUCCUAUUAGUGACAACCCACCUCCUAAUCACGUCCUGCUUCAAACAAGGUAACAUUACAGGACAGCCUCCGAAACAAUAACUGUUUGAAUAUCCUUAAUCUUCGGCAACUUCAAUAACUCCCCCAAAUAUAUGUAAUCAGAGAAUUAACUUUUACAACUUUUGGUUAUUGUUUGCUUGAACCAUAAAGCAGAGCUCUUUCUGGGUGUUUGGUUCUGAUGCAUUUUAGUUAGUUUUUAAUUUUUUAUUAUUACAACUCUAAUUUUCUCACACAAUUAUCUACUUCUAAUAGGUUUUCAUUUAAAAAGGCAUGUAACUGAUGCCUAAUUUUAUACUGCUGGCCUAUUUGCUUUGUUUUAGCCAGAGUUUGGCAGACUUUGUAGACAAAAUGAAACGUUGCUCUAAAACUUUUAACACUUAAAUAAUCAUAAUACACUCGAUUUUUGCUCUGCCGAAAAUCUUCCCACUAAUGCUCUAAUGCAAUUGAUUGGUGGAAAACAAUAUACACAGUUUUUUUUCUCAAAGGGAUUUGGAAGUCACUCAAAAUUAAUUCCCCACUGAUGAGCAGAGAAGAAUCUCUCAAGAAGAAUUCCUCAAAAGCACGUGGAAAAUUUUCAUGACCUCUGCAGAGUGUAAGACAGUAUUUAAAAAGUCACUGGGGGCCAGGCAUGGUGGCUCACACCUGUAAUCCUGGCAAUUUGGGAGGCCAAGGCAGGCGGAUCACUUGAGGUCACAAGUUGGAGACCAGCCUGGCCAACAUGGUGAAACCCCAUCUCUACUAAAAAAAUUAGCUGGGCACA
rnacentral:lncRNA from 1 species